GAUGAACGCUGGCGGCGUGCCUAAUACAUGCAAGUCGAGCGAACAGACGAGGAGCUUGCUCCUCUGCCGUUAGCGGCUGACGGGCGAGUAACACGUGGAUCAGCUACCUCUAUGUCUGGGAUAACUUCGGGAGACCGGUGAUACUACUGGCUAAUAUAUUCUACCGCAUGGUUCAAUAGUGAAAGACGGUUUUGGCGUCUGUAUUAGCUGACGCCGGAUUAGCUAGUUGGCAAGGUAAAGGCAUACCAAGGCAACGAUACGUAGCUGAUCUGAGAGGAUGAUCGGCCACACUGGAACUGAGACACGGUCCAGACUCCUACGGGAGGCAGCAGUAGGGAAUCUUCCGCAAUGGGCGAAAGCCUGACGGAGCAACGCCGCGUGAGUGAAGAAGGUCUUCGGAUCGUAAAACUCUGUUAUUAGGGAAGAACAAAUGUGGAAGUAACUAUGCACGUCUUGACGGUACCUAAAGAGAAAGCCACGGCUAACUACGUG
rnacentral:rRNA from 1 species